GUGGGGAAUCUUAGACAAUGGGGGCAACCCUGAUCUAGCCAUGCCGCGUGAGUGAUGAAGGCCUUAGGGUUGUAAAGCUCUUUCAGUGGGGAAGAUAAUGACGGUACCCACAGAAGAAGCCCCGGCUAACUCCGUGCCAGCAGCCGCGGUACUACGGAGGGGGCUAGCGUUGUUCGGAAUUACUGGGCGUAAAGCGCACGUAGGCGGAUCGGAAAGUUGGGGGUGAAAUCCCAGGGCUCAACCCUGGAACUGCCUUCAAAACUAUCGGUCUGGAGUCCGAGAGAGGUGAGUGGAAUUCCGAGUGUAGAGGUGAAAUUCGUAGAUAUUCGGAGGAACACCAGUGGCGAAGGCGGCUCACUGGCUCGGUACUGACGCUGAGGUGCGAAAGCGUGGGGAGCAAACAGGAUUAGAAACCCCUGUAGUCC
rnacentral:rRNA from 1 species